AAAUCUUAAAAAAAAAAAAAAAAAAAGAAUGCACACUCUGGCCCAGUUGAUCUGGGGCGGAGCCAAGAUUGUGCAUUUCGAACCCGCUCCGCUCAGAGACUCUCGGGACCUCACUUUCUGGCGAUCGUGACCCCAGCCCCGCAGCUUCAACAGUUAUAUCAACCCUUAGCUGAUGUUUUGUUUUGUUUUAAUUUAUUUCUUUCUUCAUGAGAGACACACAGAGAGAGGCAGAGACAGGCAGAGGGAGAAGCAGGCUCCCUGCAGGGAGCCCGACGCGGGACUCCAUCUCGGACCUCGGGAUCACAUCCCAAGCCUAAGGCAGACGCUCACCCGCUGAGCCACCCAGGCGUCCCUACUCUCAGCCAGUUUUGUUUCCAUCAUUUUGAAGCAACACCAGGUGAUACAAACACCAGGCAAUGACAAAACAGUAAUGACAAAGUGCUGAGAGCGCCACCACCGAUGGAUGCAGACAAGUACAAGAGAAAGGCGUGUCUAACAUCAAUGCUGUAAAACUCCAUGGAACAAGAAGUCCUUCAGUGUCGAUUCCAGGAUGGCCUGUCGAUUCCAGUCUUGGUAAUGUGACUUUGGACGAGAACUUGAGCCAUGACUUGUAGAGCAUACGUAGGGGUUCAAUAAAAUAAUUACUUUUUAGUAGGGAAGGAGGGAAAAGGAGGAAGGGGUAGGGGGAAGAGGAAAUCACAUCUGUCCUUCAGUUUGGAGGCUUCAGUCCACAGCCCCCGGGCCAUUUCUGUCUACGUCAGCAGUUCUCCAAGGGUGAACUUGGGAAGUCACGGGGUCAUUUAUGGUUGUCGCCAUGACCAGGGUUUUCUGAUAUUUUGCAUGCAAGGGGCAUCGUGCAGAGUGAGAUUCUCAACAAGAAUUGCUUCAUUUAACAAAAUACGUCCUGCUGGACAUACACGUAGGUGGAAAAACCUAUUUAUCGUUAUCCGAGCCUAGACUAUAACUUGAUUUGAUGUAUAAAACACAGGUUGGUAUUUUUUUUGUUGUUGUGUAUAUACUUAAAAUUUCCAGGAUCACAACUGAGUAAAUAAAAAAAAGAUGAUACUGUUUCAUUUGAAA